UACGGAGGGGACUAGCGUUGUUCGGAAUUACUGGGCGUAAAGCGCACGUAGGCGGAUUUGUAAGUCAGGGGUGAAAUCCCGGGGCUCAACCUCGGAACUGCCUUUGAUACAGCACGUCUCGAGUCCGGAAGAGGUGGGUGGAAUUCCUAGUGUAGAGGUGAAAUUCGUAGAUAUUAGGAAGAACACCGGUGGCGAAGGCGGCCCGCUGGUCCGGUACUGACGCUGAGGUGCGAAAGCGUGGGGAGCAAACAGG
rnacentral:rRNA from 1 species